rnacentral:rRNA from 1 species
CGAAAGCCUGACGGAGCAACGCCGCGUGAGGGAUGGAGGCCUUUGGGCUGUAAACCUCUUUUCUCAAGGAAGAAGAUCUGACGGUACUUGAGGAAUAAGCCACGGCUAAUUCCGUGCCAGCAGCCGCGGUAAUACGGGAGUGGCAAGCGUUAUCCGGAAUUAUUGGGCGUAAAGCGUCCGCAGGCGGCCGUUUAAGUCUGUUGUUAAAUCGUGGAGCUCAACUCCAUCACGGCAAUGGAAACUGUUCGGCUUGAGUAUGGUAGGGGCAGAGGGAAUUUCCGGUGUAGCGGUGAAAUGCGUAGAUAUCGGGAAGAACACCAGUGGCGAAAGCGCUCUGCUGGGCCAUUACUGACGCUCAUGGACGAAAGCCAGGGGAGCGAAAGGGAUUAGAUACCCCUGUAGUCCUGGCCGUAAACGAUGAACACUAGAUGUUGGGGGAAUCGACCCCCUCGGUGUCGUGGCUAACGCGUUAAGUGUUCCGCCUGGGGAGUACGCACGCAAGUGUAAAACUCAAAGGAAUUGACGGGGGCCCGCACAAGCGGUGGAGUAUGUGGUUUAAUUCGAUGCAACGCGAAGAACCUUACCAAGGCUUGACAUCCUGCGAAUCUCUAAGAAAUUAGAGAGUGCCUUCGGGAACGCAGUGACAGGUGGUGCAUGGCUGUCGUCAGCUCGUGUCGUGAGAUGUUGGGUUUAGUCCCGCAACGAGCGCAACCCACAUUUUUAGUUGCCAGCAUUCAGUUGGGCACUCUAGAAAGACUGCCGGUGACAAACCGGAGGAAGGUGUGGACGACGUCAAGUCAUCAUGCCCCUUACGCCUUGGGCUACACACGUACUACAAUGCUGCGGACAAAGAGUAGCGAUCUUGCGAAAGUUAGCUAAUCUCAUAAACCGUGGCUCAGUUCAGAUCGUAGGCUGCAACUCGCCUACGUGAAGGAGGAAUCGCUAGUAAUCGCAGGUCAGCAUACUGCGGUGAAUACGUUCCCGGGCCUUGUACACACCGCCCGUCACACCAUGGAAGUUGGCCAUGCCCGAAGUCGUUACUCUAACCUUUUGGAAGAGGGCGCCGAAGGCAGGGCUAAUGACUGGGGUGAAGUCGUAACAAGGUAGCCGUAGCGGAAGCUGCGGCUGGAUCACCUCCUAA